rnacentral:rRNA from 1 species
CCUACGGGAGGCAGCAGUCGAGAAUCAUUCACAAUGGGGGAAACCCUGAUGGUGCGACGCCGCGUGGGGGAAUGAAGGUCUUCGGAUUGUAAACCCCUGUCAUGUGGGAGCAAAUUAAAAAGAUAGUACCACAAGAGGAAGAGACGGCUAACUCUGUGCCAGCAGCCGCGGUAAUACAGAGGUCUCAAGCGGUGUUCGGAAUCACUGGGCGUAAAGCGUGCGUAGGCUGUUUCGUAAGUCGUGUGUGAAAGGCGCGGACUCAACCCGCGGACGGCACAUGAUACUGCGAGACUAGAGUAAUGGAGGGGGAACCGGAAUUCUCGGUGUAGCAGUGAAAUGCGUAGAUAUCGAGAGGAACACUCGUGGCGAAGGCGGGUUCCUGGACAUUAACUGACGCUGAGGCACGAAGGCCAGGGGAGCGAAAGGGAUUAGAUACCCUUGUAGUC